rnacentral:rRNA from 1 species
AUUGAACGCUGGCGGCAUGCCUUACACAUGCAAGUCGAACGGUAACAGGCCGCAAGGUGCUGACGAGUGGCGAACGGGUGAGUAAUACAUCGGAACGUGCCCGAUCGUGGGGGAUAACGCAGCGAAAGCGGUGCUAAUACCGUAUACGAUCUACGGAUGAAAGCGGGGGAUCGCAAGACCUCGCGCGGACGGAGCGGCCGAUGGCAGAUUAGGUAGUUGGUGGGGUAAAGGACGACCAAGCCGACGAUCUGUAGCUGGUCUGAGAGGACGACCAGCGACACUGGGACUGAGACACGGCCCAGACUCCUACGGGAGGCAGCAGUGGGGAAUUUUGGACAAUGGGCGCAAGCCUGAUCCAGCAAUGCCGCGUGCAGGAUGAAGGCCUUCGGGUUGUAAACUGCUUUUGUACGGAACGAAAUGGCUCUGGUUAAUACCUGGGGUCGAUGACGGUACCGGAAGAAUAAGGACCGGCUAACUACGUGCCAGCCGCCGCGGUAAGAC